AAGGAUCAGCCCCUCCUUGACGGUCUGACAGAAAGGCCUCAUGGGAUCCUGUCCAUCCUCCCUGGCAAAUGUCAGUGCCUUUAGAACCUAGUCAAAGAAUGUAGCUCUGUGGAUCGGGGAAGGACCGUGCAAAGUGGGAUACUUGAACAGAGCAAAAUAGGGCUGCCCUGCCAGGAAUGAGGAAGACAAAGGGUCCAGAGAGCCGGGAGAACACGACGUUGAAGAGAUACCGUGGGCAGUGAGCAGAAACGGGAAGAAAAAAUACACAUUACAGUAAUGGAGAUGGAAAAAACGCCACCUGGACAACGAAAACGGAGUGCCGUGAAAUUUUCAUGAGCAAAUUUGCUCCAAAGAAGGAAAUGGAAAUGCAUCCCCCUUCCCUAUUUGCAAAGUGAGAAGACCCUAUUUAUUUUGGACGUUGAAUGCCUGGAUGAUGCCGAGGACUCGGUGUCGAUACCGUUCUUUCUUGGGUCUCCGUGGGCUCCUGAGGAGGUUGGGCCUGAAGCACCUGAGAGGAAGUUAUCCAGUGGCAUCCCCCAAAGGAUGGUUUCCCAGAAUGGGCUGGAAAAGCUGCAUAGGUGGUCGAGGGAGGAAGGGGAGCCUGGGUUAUCUCCACCAAGGUCUGAGAGGAAGAGGACUAGACGGGGUACGUAGGAGACUGGUCUACAGACGACCAUCGUUUCCAGAAUGCUUGGUUUCAGUGGUCACAGAUGUUAGCUGGUCAGAGUCAAAGGCAGGAGUCGUCACUUCAGAUUCCAGCUGCUCCAGCCACGUCAAGGGCCUUCUGGGGCAGGGUCAUCACUGGCAGUCCCCUGCUCUCACUCCUCUUCCUAAAAUUGUUCAUGAAAUUUCUGGAAAAGAAAGAGGCAGAAACAAAGCAGAACUGACCAGCUAUGAAAUAUCCCACACCCAAAGGCCCCCACGUCUGCAAGCAAGAUAGAGCAACACACUCAUUUCCCUGGCCUUUCUUCACGGCCGAGCUUGGCCAUCAGCAUUAUACAACACCAAGUUCCUUUUUUAUUGUUGUUUUUCCAUUUUAGAAAAAAAUGAACAAUUUACCGAUAGUUUUUGGUUUCACGUCACCCACAUUUCUCAAUGGGCUCCUUCCUGUCUCCCACAUUCCUUUGCAAGACAAAAACCAAAACUGACCAACAACAAGGAACAACAAACCUGACCCUUCAGAUGAGAGAAAAGAGAGGGGAAAUGAGUCCCCCCAAAGUAGCCAACAUGGAGAUGGCGGAGAUGAGCCUUGGGAGAAGCUGAGGCUUGCUAAAAGCGCCGAUUGCCCCCCAAAGGGAGGAAGCUCCCUUCUUUGGGGCCAAGCCUGCGCCCCGUAAUUUCAGAGCAUUCUUUCCAGUGUUUUGCUGCUGUUACUUUGGUGCCAUUGUUGUAGGUAUUCUUUUCCUGCUUCUGCUGACUUCCCUCUGCAUCCCUUCGUGAUCUUCUCCUGAUUCUCCAGUCCUCCUCUAUUAGGAUGAAGUGAGAUGAUGAGAAGAGAAGAGAGCUCAUGGGCUGCACAUCAAAAAUCUAAAACGAACCUUGCUAUCUUAUUGCUCUCAAGGUCUAUAGACGCUCCUAGAAGAUUUCUGCCCUCCUUCAUGUCCCAUAUUUAUAGUGA
ensembl:lncRNA